rnacentral:lncRNA from 1 species
UCUGGAGACUGUGAACCCUUGCGUUCGCCCCGGGCUACGAAAGCAAAAAUCAAAGUGAUUCUAACUAAAGCCACUAGGUCCAGCAGCAAGGUCAGGAUCCCAACACAGCUACCUGCAGCUCAACAUACUGAUAAGCUUCGAGAUGGUCAGCUUAACUCAACAAAUAAUAAUCAAGAAAUGAGUGGAGAUAUUGCAACAGUGGAAGCUCACAAUGGAACCCAAGUGCUUGAUUCGUUGUACAGUGAUGGUGGCGGCUCAGAUUUGUUAAAUGAGCAGCUAAAGGAAAGGGAUGUUGAAUUUGAGGAGAACCCUAUGCAACCCUUAGCCUUUGAUGAGGCAAUGUUUAAGAAUUG